AUGCAGACUCUCCUGAUGGGGUGUCAGAGGGGGGAGGGGGCCAUGAGGGCACCUCACAGGAAAGGGCAAUGCUUUACUGCAGUGUCAAGGCCCAGCCAAGCCAAUGCCAGUUAUGAGCCUGAGAAGUUUCCAGUGAAGUCCUUCCCUGAAGGAGAGGCCAGAGAACUGUCAUUUUUUGUUAUGGCCUGGCUUCAGGACCAGUUUGAAAUAAUACCCCUUCUUUCUUCCCUCCCUCCCUGCCUGCCUUCCAUCUCAGGGCAGAUGAAAGAGUCUCUCCAAAUGCAAGGCAUCUUACUUUCUUGCCAAGGCAAGUCCUCUUGUAAAAGGGAGGCUUUAAAAGUCUGUCAAAGGAUACUACCAAGAGGGUGGAUUCAUUAUUUUAAAGCCCUUUCAGGGUCCUCCUACCACUGCAUUCUUCAUGAACUUCUUUGGAUGGUGACUUGGAAGGUGCUGCUUCUUACUGGCGAAGUCUUAGAAUGUUCCUGCCCAGAAAAUGCCCACUUUGGAAUAGAUAUAAUAUGUAAUACUCUGAUAUAA
rnacentral:lncRNA from 12 species